rnacentral:rRNA from 1 species
AUAACGACUCUCGGCAACGGAUAUCUCGGCUCACGCAUCGAUGAAGAACGUAGCAAAAUGCGAUACUUGGUGUGAAUUGCAGAAUCCCGUGAACCAUCGAGUUUUUGAACGCAAGUUGCGCCCGAAGCCAUCUGGUUGAGGGCACGUCUGCCUGGGYGUCACGC